UUAUAUGUACAAGUGAUGUUUUAUUGUAACAAGCCGUUGUGUCGCGAGUUUACUUCUUGUCAUCGUGUCAUUAGUAAUAAUUUUGUAAUGGUAUUUAUUUUAUGCAUGGAACAAUGCGAUGGUUAUUAUACUCGAUCACCUAGCCAACCUACUUACUACGAGGAAGGAUGGUUCACAAAUUAGGCAGUAUUUAAAUACCAGUGUACAGAUCCUGAAAGUACCAUCAUUAGCCACUGUUAUUGUUGAAUAACUCCAGGCUUUGGAAGAAAAGCUGUGGCCUGUGAACAGCUGUGAAUAUUGGUCAGAGAAAUGUAACUGACUCCGUACACUGCAAGUCCCAGCAGGAAAUCAGCAAGAAACCUAAAAGAAAAAAAACAUCAAAAUGAAAACCUAGCUUGAUUUAGGUUGAAGUAAUAAAAUUGUUCUAAUUUAA